AGUGAACGCUGGCGGUAGGCCUAACACAUGCAAGUCGAACGGCAGCACAGUAAGAUCCUGCCCUUACGGGUGGCGAGUGGCGGACGGGUGAGGAAUACAUCGGAAUCUACUUUUUCGUGGGGGAUAACGGAGGGAAACUUACGCUAAUACCGCAUACGACCUACGGGUGAAAGCAGGGGAGCUUCGGACCUUGCGCGUCUGAUUUAGCCGAUGUCGCAUUAGCUAGGUGGCAUGGUAAAGGCUCACCAAGCCGACGAUACGGAGCCUACCUGAGAGGGUGGGAGGCCACACUGGAACGGAGACACGGCCCAGAGUCCUACGGGAGGCAGCAGUAGGGAAUCUUCCGCAAGGGGCGAAAGCCUGACGGAGCAACGCCGCGGGAGUGAUGAAGGGCUGCGGAUCGGAAAACUCUGUUAUUAGGGAAGAAAAAAUGGGUAAGUAACUAUGCACGUCUUGACGGUACCGAAUCAGAAAGCCACGGCUAACUACGUG
rnacentral:rRNA from 1 species